rnacentral:rRNA from 1 species
ACGGGUGAGUAAUGCUUGGGAAUCUAGCUUAUGGAGGGGGAUAACUACGGGAAACUGUAGCUAAUACCGCGUAAAAUCUUCGGAUUAAAGGGUGGGACUUUCGGGCCACCUGCCAUAAGAUGAGCCCAAGUGGGAUUAGGUAGUUGGUUAGGUAAAGGCUCACCAAGCCGACGAUCUCUAGCUGGUCUGAGAGGAUGACCAGCCACACUGGGACUGAGACACGGCCCAGACUCC